UGUGAACUUUGGUUUGAACACAGAGAGAAUGGACUCUCAUUAGAGUACUUCAGCAGUGCUCAUGGAUUUCGAGGCCACAGGGCCCAAGCUUCUAACUGCUGUUGGACAUCAGGAGGCAGAAUACCAUGGUAGUAAAAGUGGUAUUCAGCUCACCAGCUGUGUGGCCUUUAGCAAGUCACUCACCGUCUCUGAACCUCUGUUUUCCUGUUUGUAGACUGAGCGUCUCUUUUCGCUUGCCUGGUGGGCUGAGUGAUGGCCCCCAAAGAUGUCCACACCCUAAUCCCAGGAACCUGUGAAUAUGUUACCUUCUGUGGCAAAAGGGACUUUGCAGUUGGGGUUAAGGUAAGGACCUUGAGAUGGGGAGAGGAUCCUGGAUUAUCUGGAGGGGCCCAGUGUAACGACCAACACCUUUGUGGCAAAGGUCAGUGUCAGAAGAAGGCACUGUGAUGACUGAAGAAGAGAAAAUGAGAUUGAAGAUGCUGUGCCACUGGCUUUGAAGAUGGAGGAGGGAACCAGGAGCCAGGGAAUGCAGGUGGCUUCCAGCAGCUGGAAAAGGCAGGGAAACGGAUUCUCCCCUAGGACUCCAGAAGGAAGACAGCCCCGCUGACUGGUUUUAGACAUCUGACUUUGAGAAAUGUAACAGAAUUCAUUUGUUUGUUUUAAGGCACUCAGUUUGUGGUUUUUUGUUACAGCAGCUGUAGGAAAUGAAUACAGCUCAUAAUUCACAUGUCUGGUUCUUCUUCCUCCCUGGCUAUACAGGUUGGUCUCCUGCUCUGCACUGUUCUUCCUCCUCUUUCUGACUUGCAACAAGAGUUGGGAGGGAGGUCCUUCUGCCUUGGUGAUCUCAUCCCAUCUCAAGGCUUUCAGUGUGCUAUGGGUGCACUAUGGCUCCCAAACGUACAUCUCCAGACACAGUUCUCCCCUUGACUCCAGGCUCUCUUACUCACCUGCCUACUACCUGUCACUGUCAAGACAUCCACUGGGUAAACAUCCUGAGUAGGACUCUUGACUUUUCCCCAGUCCUGCUCCACCUACAGUUUUCCCAUCACGGUUAAUGUGGAUCCUUCCAGAGGCUCUGGUCCAAUAUCUAGCAGUAUGCUCUCUCUCUCCCAACUGCAUUCAUGCCUUCAGUAAAUCCUAUUAGCUCUACUUGAAAAUGUCUGCUGAAUCUGACCACGUCUGCCUCCCAUGCUCCCCACCCUGAUCCAAGUCACCUCUGCCCAAAACACCUCCAUGCCCCAUGCAGAGCCCCCACAAUGGCCCUGAGGCACUACGAGAGUGAGGGUGCCCCCACCCUCCUUUCUCCUCUCAGAGUCUCACCUCUCACCCUUCUCACCCUGCCCUAGCACAGGGCUCCUGUUGUUCCUCAGACACCCCAGGCAAGCUGGUGACCCAGGGACUUUGCACUUGACAUUCCUAGUCAUGGAAUGUUCUUGUUCCACAUAGUAGCACGGCUUGUUCCUCCCCCUCCUGCAAAUCUUUAUUCAACUGCCCCCUCUCUGAGGCCUUGUCCAACUUCCCUGUUUAAAAUUGUGCCCUUCAUUUCCCUAUCAGCUUGAUUUUUUUCUCAGCAUUUAAAAAUUGCUGGCAUCUCCACCAAAAAUUGAAGACUCAUGGUCUUCUAAUGUUAAAUGUAACUAAACUAGAUGCUUCCCUAGGGCAAGGAUUCUUUCUGUUUUGCUUCCUGCUGUUUGUUCUCCCUUUGCCCAGUACGUAGAUCAAUGUGGCACACAUGAGGCACUCAGCACAUCUACUGAGUGAACAAAUCUGAACAAAUAGUUGGGCAAUAAAUUUAUGCAACAGUUUUACCUGAGUAUAAGAGCUGAGUGUCCAAAAUAAAUGUAAUGGGCCCAGUUUAUAAAUAAGUUAUUUAUCUAUA